UACGGUUGCAAAGCUGAAACUUAAAGGAAUUGACGGAAGGGCACCACCAGGAGUGGAGCCUGUGGCUUAAUUUGACUCAACACGGGAAACCUCACCCGGUCCGGACACUGGAAGGAUUGACAGACUAAAGCUCUUUCUUGAUUCAGUGGGUGGUGGUGCAUGGCCGUUCUUAGUUGGUGGAGUGAUUUGUCUGGUUAAUUCCGAUAACGAACGAGACUCUCGCCUGCUAAAUAGUUUUCCAUACGUUACUUUAUGGAACCUAAAACUUCUUAGAGGUACAAGUGGCGUUUAGCCACACGAAACAGAGCAAUAACAGGUCUGUGAUGCCCUUAGAUGUCCGGGGCCGCACAUGUGCUACAAUGAAUGCAUCAACGUGUAUCAGCCUCGCCCGAAAGGGUUGGGGAAUCCGCUGAACGGCAUUCUCAGUAGGGAUUGGGGAUUGCAAUUAUUUCCCAUGAACACGGAAUUCCCAGUAGGCGCCAGUCAUCAGCUGGCGUCGAUUGAGUCCCUGCCCUUUGUACACACCGCCCGUCGCUACUACCGAUCGCUCUUGUUAAUGAGCUUGUCGGAUUGGACCCGGUGAGCAGUCGUUGCGCUUCAUCUCCUCGCGGGGUGGGCCUUCGUCUGCGAGCUUUUGGUGUAUGCCGAGAAGAUCGGCAAAUUAUCUGGAGUAGAGGAAGUAAAAGUCGUAACAAGGUAUCCGUAGGUGAACCUGCGGAUGNNNNNNNNNNAAUAUAUGUCGUAUACAAUAGAYACGAUAGGUGGAUGUCCGCGAGGGUUGCUUCUCGGUAGAAAGAUACAUACAAAAAGUAAAAGAGAAGCCGCCGAGUGGCGAGUUGUUGAAAGUAGCCCAGCGAAACAACGGAACAAACCCUCGGAAUAAGAAAGAAAAAGACGUGCUGUACGAAAAAGUGCAACG
rnacentral:rRNA from 1 species